rnacentral:lncRNA from 1 species
CCAAGGGUUAUCUGUGUGUGGGCGUAGUAGGAGUAUAUGUAUCACGUUGUAACACCAAAGGGAUUUAGGUUGUAGAUGAAUGAACUCUGAAGCUUUCUCACCUUCGGUUCUCUUGUUCCUCAGCCCCUUGUCUGAUUCCUCACCCUAAUUCUCCUCGAAUUAUCUCAAACUACCAAGGCACUCAGGUGAUCUGUCCGAUCUCGAUCCAUUCCACGAUUGGGUCAUGACAAUUUGGUAAUCAGAGCCCCAAAAUUUCCUCGAAAUUUUGCUUCCGCUGUGUGUUCCUCAACUCUCUCGGCCAGAUUCGUAACAUCCAUUGCCCUGGGUGCGGUUUGCUUCCGUGAAUCGCACAAAAUCCCUGGGCUAGGUUGGAUCGGCUUGGAGUGGAGCGACAACGACAUUCAAAUCCUCAGCACAUAGACAAGAAAACAAUCACCUGCCACUUCCUGCCUAACAGGUGUUCGACGAAAUGUCGAGCAAGCAAGUGGUGUUCACCGGCGGUGUUCUCCGCGUCACUGUGCACCAUGUGUACUACUCGAUCAAUGAGGAGACGUUGCAGCAGGUGUUUACAGUGUAUGGCGUGGUGAAGAUCUCUGUGUACCAGAGAGUCAACCAUGUGGAGGCGGUGGUUCAACUUCGAUCAAGAAGCGCGGCAGCACGGGCUCUCGCCAUGCAUGGUCGGUGCAUCUAUGAGCGUGCCUGCCUCCUCGACAUCCAGGACGUGUCACCGGAGUACAACCUGCACUUGUGCUCGCUGCUCGAUCAGAAGCAGACCACAACCGUGGCCGAGUACACGACGGCGUUCCGGGAAUGCGUACAACACGUACUGGAUAUCAACCCCAACCUAAGCAUCAAGUGCUUCGUCCACCAGUACAUCGAGGGGCUGCACAAGGAUAUUCAAGCAGUCAUGCAGUCGCAAUCGCCGUCUAGCAUCACCAGAGCAUCGUGUCUUGCUCGGAUAAGGGAGGAAGAGAUCAUGCAGGAUGAGUCGAUAUGCGCCGAGGAGUGUGGCGAUGGCUACGGCCAUGGAGUACAGGACCGCGGCAUCGAUGCGAGCAAGCUUACUGCUCCGACACCGACCAUGUGCUUGACAGAGUGCCCGGAUUACGACGACACCGUCCAUGUCGCUGCACCUGUCGUGCUUGCCUCCCCUGCCGUGUGCGGCGAGGACCUUGACAUUGACAACGCCCAUGUCGCUGCACCUGUUGUGCUUGCCUCCCCUGCCGUGUGCGACGAGGACCUCGACAUCGACACCGACCAUGUCACUGCACCAACGCCCGCCAUCUGCUCGACGGGUGACCUGGCCCAUGGUAGAGAUGACUACGACCCCAUGUCAGUGUCCAUGAUCCUAUGGAGUAUACCAGCCCCACCACAGAGAGUGAUUCCUGACUUUAAGCUCAUCGCGAUGAUACGCACCAGUUGUUUGUUCAAAAGCUCUGUCGAUGCUGCUUAUGUGUUGACAGUCGUGCUCAUGUCGGAUCUGAUAAUGGGUCGGAAGGCACAAGGACAGGUGAUCCGACCAGCACCGCGGCCUUCGUUCUUCAGCAAGCAUACCAAUACAGCUUCACGUGAGGCAUGCAUGGCUAUUUGGCAUAUGACUCAUGAAGUUGACAUUUGUCCAUUGGUGCACAACAUUUUUCGCUUCCUUUACUUAACUCAUGGCGACAAGAUCACUUAAAGCAGAAUGAUCUAUUCCAGAUGCUUAAGAAAUGGUGCACGCAUAAUAAAUAUGUGCAGCUCGCCCGUACAAUUUUUGAAGCUUACAUCCAGUUUCGUGCUACCAGUGAGGUUUUCACUUCAAUGCUUAAUUGGGAAGCUGCACUUUUGUCCACGGACCUCCUAUUCGACGAGUACACUGAACCGAUGACUAUUGAAUGGCAUUUUUAUCUUGUGCAACAGGUUCAUCUUUAUUGUCUUCUAGCUUCAGCUGAACCUUCUGAUCGCGGCGAAGGAUGUGAAGCUAUGCUCACUUGUGCUCAGUUCACCUUGAGAGGAGUUAAAGUCCUGAAAUAAUUGCCAAGUUGUUCUACAACUAUUCUUCUUAUGGUCUCUUGACUCUUCUAUGGAGGAUAGUGCCCAAUGGAAGUGUACUUGGAGAUCACCCUCUGUAUUUGAAGAAUUCCUAGCGGAAGUUACAGUUUGGCAACAUGGAAAUGGUGCCGUUAAUUCCGCUUACCUGGUUCUCCUUGUUCGCUAUGUGACACUUCAAGUUGAGACCCUCUUGGAUGUUUCUCAACCCUGUGAACCCUUUGUUAACAAAAGAAGAGUAACAUCACUGUAUACAGAAGGAAGAGCAUUGUUUAUAGGAGUACUUCACCCCAUUAUUCCCUUUCACUUGCCAUUGAAGAUAUGGGUUCCGGUGUUUCUAGUUACCAGCUUGUCUCGAUGGAGCUCUCUGAUAGGGGAUUCAAGUUCCAUCUUCGCAAUUCAAAAUUUGGAACAAUGGGUGCUUCGUAUGGUAACAAGUUCAGCUACCAGACUAUGGGACCCAGGAUUCUUUGAUGUUCAGUGCCUCAGCGCUAUUAAGUUUCUUUCAACCACAUGGGUCUCAUGCUUAUUUGUUCCUGAUGUGAAAGAUUAUCUUGGUCAUGGACUUGAGCUUUCAGCUGCAACACAACAGGAUCCUGGAAUUCGACACUUUAUUCUUCUACCUUGCUACUUCUUGGGAAAACCGGGUGUGUGCGCUGGUACAGUAGUGCACCUGGGCAAUACAAACUUUGUUGUGACUGUAUUUGAAUAUCUACAGCUGUGGGACAAGGGAAAUUCCAUUUUGAUUCAAGUGACUGCAGUGUUCGGCACUUUUGGUGCUCUAACUUGCACGUACAAGAGGACAUAUUAUAUUUUUCAGGAAGGCAAUGGGACCCUGGGAUUUUGCAAUUUAUCCUUGGAACUUGGGUAUCAUCUAGUGGCAAGAUGGUAUCAUCUAGUGGCAACAUCUUGCAUACACGCAUUCUCAACUUAUCUGAAAUUUAUUGUUGGCUGGACCGUGAUAUGCAACUUGGUUAUUUGGGACACAUGGUUGUGAUACUACCAUCGACUCUAUUCUGGUUUCCAAAGUGGCCUCUCUCUAAAAUGCAGCAAGCUGAGAACUACAUGAUGCUUCCUCCAGAAAAUAUUGCUCAAGCCAUGUUCGAACUAAACUUUUGGAUGAUAACACUUGAGUUCUCUCGAGAUCGUUCAGCUAGCCACUUACCCCUUCAGUUCCUUGUAUUUCUUCGCACCAGCAGAACUGAGAUAUAUUCUUCUGGGACCCAAUGCUCACUUUUUCCGUGGUGGUUUUCGUCUGAUCGAAGAGCAAUUCAUGAGCGGACACCACAGAUCACAAUAUAUACGCAUGUGCAGAUGUUCUUAGGAGGGCUCAGUUUUGAGAUGAAUCGAUCUCAAGGCACCAUAGAGACUGCAGCCAUGUUGUGGCGCCAUUCUACUAACCAGCUGCUUGUUUGUAUCAUUCGCAUUGGGGAGCCCGUGAAGGGAGAGACCAAAACUUGCACUCGCCUGCUUGCUGUCAAGGAAGGGACCUCAAGUUGGUUUAGAUUUAUCUUGUGUGUGAACAACAUGCCCCACUUUUCAACUACAGUUCCAUUUGAAACUGAAUUAGUGCCAUCUCCCAAUGAGCUGAUCAGGUGCACGCAUAUGCUACUGCCAUAUGACCCAGGAGGACUAGCUCUUCACUUAGAUGAGAUUGGAGGUAUUCAGAAUUCAAGCUUGAUCAUCAUCGGCUUGGGGGCAAGCCGAUUUUCAAGGGAGGGAGAGUGUAACACCCCCUGUAUGGGCUGUUGCCAUGUGGUUUGUACCUGUGUGUGGGCUACAAGAUGGGCCAAGGGUUAUCUGUGUGUGGGCCUAGCAGGAGUAUAUGUAUCACGUUGUAACACCAAAGAGAUUCAGGUUGCAGAUGAAUGAAUUCUGAAGCUUUCUCACCCCCGGUUCUCUUGUUCCUCAGCCCCUUGUCUGAUUCCUCACCCUAAUUCUCCUCGAAUUAUCCCAAACUACCAAGGUACUCAGGUGAUUUGUCCGAUCUCGAUCCAUUCCAUGAUCGGGUUGUGACAGUGGUGGCGGAGAGCGUUGAGCUAGUGGAUCCGAAGGGGGGACGGAUCCGGUAGCCGCCAGGUGCAUCGGGCCGCUAGCACCUCGAUCUAGUCAACAGUGGCGGCGAUGGUAGGUAGAGGAAGAGGAGGGGAUCGAGAGUUUUUUUAGGCAGCAUGGGCUGCGUCGUGCGUGGGAUGUGGCAGAAAAAGACUUAGUAAGGAAA